GUGAAGAAUAUUGCGCAAUGGAGGCAACUCUGACGCAGCCAUGCCGCGUGCAGGAAGAAGGCGCUACGCGUUGUAAACUGCUUUUAACCGGGAAGAAACCCCAGGACGUGUCCUGGGUUGACGGUACCGGAGGAAUAAGCACCGGCUAACUUCGUGCCAGCAGCCGCGGUAAUACGAAGGGUGCAAGCGUUAUCCGGAUUCAUUGGGUUUAAAGGGUGCGUAGGCGGAGCGUUAAGUCAGUGGUGAAAUCCUGCAGCUUAACUGUAGACUUGCCAUUGAUACUGGCGCUCUUGAGUGCGCUUGAAGUGGGCGGAAUGUGCCGUGUAGCGGUGAAAUGCUUAGAUAUGGCACAGAACACCAAUUGCGAAGGCAGCUCACUAAGGCGAUACUGACGCUGAGGCACGAAAGCGUGGGGAUCGAACAGGAUUAGAAACCCCGGUAGUCC
rnacentral:rRNA from 1 species